AUCCAGCUGACAAGUCCCAAAUAGGACGAAGGACGCAUCCUGGAU
rnacentral:hammerhead_ribozyme from 1 species